CUAAGCACAGGCCACAGAGCACGACCCUUGGCGCUAAAGGAAGAGACCCAACAUGGAGUCAGCAUUUAGGGAGCAUCGGUGAGAACUACUUCUUCUAAGCUAAAAAUGUCUAGCACCUGAAAAAAAAAAUCAAGACGGGUUCUCUCUGGAUACAAGAGGACAGGAUUUAAGUCCUCACUGCAGUCAGACACACUGGAUUAUAUUUGUUAAGUGUUGCCUCCCUAAACUAGAACAUAAGUUCUGUGAAACCAGGGGAUGAAGACUGCAUUGGCACGUGAUGAAAUAUUACAGGAACAGGCCGUGAGCAUUUGUAAGACACACCCUUCGCUCUGAAUCAAUGCCGUAAGAGCAGCACCCCUGAAUAACAUUUCCCACUUGAGAAACACAUCUGUCAGGUGAUGUCAACGCCUGGCUUCCUCUGCUUCCUGUUGGGUUCAAACGUGGCCUUCUCUCAUGGUCCUGGAAUGCUGACAUGGUCGAGUGGCCAGAGCCAAACACAGGGUUUGCAUGGUUGACUGUUCCUAAUCAGAGAUCACCUUGGUGACACACCGAGUUCCUCUGAAGCUGGGCACCAGUAGGCCUUCAGGGAAAUGAAGCAUGUGGCUACUUCAGCCAGACAGUCAGUCUCUGUUUGAUGACUGUGCAAUGACUGAGAAAGCCUUCUGACUUCACUCCUGUGCUCCAGCAUUGUCAUGGCUUUGGUGCUUGGAGCAUCGAUUCGGCACUGCCUUGUGAGAUCCAGGAAAAUAAAAAUGAAUCAGUAAAAACAUUUUUACUUGGAUCAUCCAAGGAACUCUCUCAAGAGACAGAGGAGAAUCCAGACAAAGAACUGAUAAAACUGGUUUUCUUAAUCUGCCACUUUCCUUAUUCUGCCAGAAAGUUAGCAAUCCAAUGUGAGCAUGAUCAGCAGUGUGUAAAAAACCUAUAAUUAAGGACUCGGAUGUUUUCUCUACUGGCUUUAUCUUUUAAAUAAGAACACCUCUUCAACUGUAAACAACAGCUCUUGGUGGCUGUUUUUAUUUGAAUAAAAUUGUGUUUAAAAUUGUUAAAAA